AAUUAUCCUCAUAAGUUUGGCGAUAAGAGGAACCACUUUGAUUAAUUUCUCCGGUGGUGUCACAGAAUCGGAGGCCCCGACUGUUUACUUAAAACACAGAUACCUGCAAUGAUUAAUUUAUUUGUAUAGGUGUCGAAUUUUGCCCAAUGCCAUUAAUAUAAAGAAGGCGAGUUUAAUAUUGCCGACUGAAGUUCUGGUCAAUGGCGGUCUUAACUAUAAGGAUCCAAAGGUAGCGAAAUUUAUUGUCCACUAAAUAUGGUCCUGCAUGAAUAAAGUAACGAUGGCCUCACUGUCUCUACAAGCAUCUCAGUGAAAUUGAAUUAGCCGUGCAGAUGCGGUUUACGAAUGGGUAGACGGGAAGACCCUAUGCAGCUU
rnacentral:rRNA from 1 species